CCGCAUCCAAUUUAGCUGACCAUGCUUCUUUCCUCAUGGGGGCCAGGUGUGCAAUGGUUGCAAACUCCUUGGUAGUGUAUGCAGCCUGUUUGCAUGGAUUGAUCUACGGGGCCUUGGAGACAGCC
rnacentral:snoRNA from 1 species